GAUGAACGCUGGCGGCGUGCCUAAUACAUGCAAGUCGAGCGAACGGACGAGAAGCUUGCUUCUCUGAUGUUAGCGGCGGACGGGUGGGUAACACGUGGAUAACCUACCUAUAAGACUGGGAUAACUUCGGGAAACCGGAGCUAAUACCGGAUAAUAUUUUGAACCGCAUGGUUCAAAAGUGAAAGACGGUCUUGCUGUCACUUAUAGAUGGACCCGCGCUGCAUUAGCUAGUUGGUAAGGUAACGGCUUACCAAGGCAACGAUGCAUAGCCGACCUGAGAGGGUGAUCGGCCACACUGGAACUGAGACACGGUCCAGACUCCUACGGGAGGCAGCAGUAGGGAAUCUUCCGCAAUGGGCGAAAGCCUGACGGAGCAACGCCGCGUGAGUGAUGAAGGUCUUCGGAUCGUAAAACUCUGUUAUUAGGGAAGAACAUAUGUGUAAGUAACUGUGCACAUCUUGACGGUACCUAAUCAGAAAGCCACGGCUAACUACGUGCCAGCAGCCGCGGUAAUACGUAGGUGGCAAGCGUUAUCCGGAAUUAUUGGGCGUAAAGCGCGCGUAGGCGGUUUUUUAGUCUGAUGUGAAAGCCCACGGCUCACCCGUGGAGGGUCAUUGGAAACUGGAAAACUUGAGUGCAGAAGAGGAAAGUGGAAUUCCAUGUGUAGCGGUGAAAUGCGCAGAGAUAUGGAGGAACACCAGUGGCGAAGGCGACUUUCUGGUCUGUAACUGACGCUGAUGUGCGAAAGCGUGGGGAUCAAACAGGAUUAGAUACCCUGGUAGUCCACGCCGUAAACGAUGAGUGCUAAGUGUUAGGGGGUUUCCGCCCCUUAGUGCUGCAGCUAACGCAUUAAGCACUCCGCCUGGGGAGUACGACCGCAAGGUUGAAACUCAAAGGAAUUGACGGGGACCCGCACAAGCGGUGGAGCAUGUGGUUUAAUUCGAAGCAACGCGAAGAACCUUACCAAAUCUUGACAUCCUUUGACAACUCUAGAGAUAGAGCCUUCCCCUUCGGGGGACAAAGUGACAGGUGGUGCAUGGUUGUCGUCAGCUCGUGUCGUGAGAUGUUGGGUUAAGUCCCGCAACGAGCGCAACCCUUAAGCUUAGUUGCCAUCAUUAAGUUGGGCACUCUAAGUUGACUGCCGGUGACAAACCGGAGGAAGGUGGGGAUGACGUCAAAUCAUCAUGCCCCUUAUGAUUUGGGCUACACACGUGCUACAAUGGACAAUACAAAGGGCAGCGAAACCGCGAGGUCAAGCAAAUCCCAUAAAGUUGUUCUCAGUUCGGAUUGUAGUCUGCAACUCGACUACAUGAAGCUGGAAUCGCUAGUAAUCGUAGAUCAGCAUGCUACGGUGAAUACGUUCCCGGGUCU
rnacentral:rRNA from 1 species